GCCGAGGUGGUGGAAAUUGGUAGACACGCAAGUUUCAGAUACUUGUAGGGAAAAAUAAGCCCUGUGGAGGUUCAAAUCCUCUCCUUGGCA
rnacentral:tRNA from 2 species